AUGGCUCUUUGAAAAUAUAUAAUAAAGAGUCUAGCCUGCCCAGUGGUUAGUUUAACGGCCGCGGUACUCUGACCGUGCGAAGGUAGCAUAAUCAUUUGUCUUAUAAUUGAAGUCUGGAAUGAAUGGUUUAACAAGAGCUAAACUGUCUCUAUUAAUAGGAUAAAAUUUUAUGAUUAAGUUAAAAAGCUUAAAUAUAAUUAAAAGACGAGAAGACCCUAUCGAGUUUAAGGAAAAUAAUUAAAAUUUUUAACAUUGAUGAAUACUAAAUAUUUAAUAAAACUUUAGUUGGGGCGAUUCAGGAACAAAUAAAGCUUCUUGUAAUUAAAAUCUAUUGGUAAAUACACGAUCCAUAAUUUGUGAUUAAAAGAAUUAAUUACCGUAGGGAUAACAGCAUUAUCUUUUUUGAGAGCUCAAAUCGAAAAAAAUGUUUGUGACCUCGAUGUUGGACCAAGAUAUCCUGAAGAUGUAGAAGUCUUUAAAGGUUGGUCUGUUCGACCAUUAAAAUCUUACGUGAUCUGAGUUCAGACCGGCGUGAGCCAGGUUGGUUUCUAUCUUUUAUUUAUUUAAUAAAUUUAGUACGAAAGGACCAAUUUAUUUUAUGCUUGUAAAAAUAAAGAUUAAGUAUAAUAAAAGUAUAGAAUAUUAUAAAGAUGGCAGAAUAAUAUGCAUUAGAUUUAAGCUCUAAAGAUGAAAGUUAAAUACUUUUUCUUUAUAUAAAAGUGGCAGAGUAAAGUGCAUUAG
rnacentral:rRNA from 1 species